rnacentral:rRNA from 1 species
AUUGAACGCUGGCGGCAGGCCUAACAAAUGCAAGUCGAGCGGAGCGGCGGACGUGUGAGUAAUGCCUAGGACUCUGCCUGGUAGUGGGGGAUAACGUCAGUCACCGGGCGCUAAUACCGCAUCCUCUCAGAUGAGCCUAGGCCUGAUUAGCUAGUUGGUGGGGUACAGGCCUACCAAGGCGACGAUCCGUAACUGGUCUGAGAGGAUGAUCAGCCACACUGGAACUGUGACACGGUCCAGACUCCUACGGGAGGCAGCAUUGGGGAAUAUUGGACAAUGGGCGAAAGCCUGAUGCAGCCAUGCCACGUGUGUGAAGAAGGUCUUCGGAUUGUAAAGCACUUUAAGUUGGGAGGCGUUACCAACAGAAUAAGCACCGGCUAACUUCGUGCCAGCAGCCGCGGUAAUUC